rnacentral:RNase_P_RNA from 7 species
GGGGGAGGCAAGCUAUCGCACCUAGUUUGUAGGUGAGGAAAGUCUGGACUUCGAACGGAAGGAUACCAGUUAACGGCUGGGCACCGUAAGGUGACGGAAAGUGCAACAGAGACCAUUGCCAUUUAAGGCUGAAAAGUUCGAGUGUAAACUCGAUCGUACUCCGGGCAACCGGAGGCGUUGUAAACCCUAUCUGAAGCAAGAUGAGGGGGGACGCGUUUCCAAGCGCGGAUGAUCCCCUGUUAGAAUCGCUCGAGAGUUCUGGUAACAGAUCUCCUAGAGGAAUGAUAGCUCAUGACAGAAUCCGGCUUAUGAUCCCUCCCCCACCU